rnacentral:rRNA from 1 species
CACGUAGGGGGCAAGCGUUGUCCGGAAUUAUUGGGCGUAAAGAGCUCGUAGGCGGUCUGUCGCGUCUGCUGUGAAAACUCGGGGCUUAACCCCGGGCCUGCAGUGGGUACGGGCAGACUAGAGUGCGGUAGGGGAGACUGGAAUUCCUGGUGUAGCGGUGAAGUGCGCAGAUAUCAGGAGGAACACCGGUGGCGAAGGCGGGUCUCUGGGCCGUAACUGACGCUGAGGAGCGAAAGCGUGGGGAGCGAACAGG